GGGUUGGGAUAACUGGGAGCCGGAGUUUGCUCGGGACGGCACCGGGAGGCGACGCGAAGUCCCGUGCGGGGCUGUGGGGGUGGUCCCCCUGCACCCACGGGGGGAGCCCCGCCGGGAGCUGCCGGCAGUAGCGGGGAACUUGUAACGCAGUGAAAUCGCCGAGCCCGGCUCUCCUGGGCUGACUUAGUGCCUCGCAUUCCUCCAUGAGUGGAGUGUGUAAUUAGUUUUAUUAAUUUAUUUUCUUUCCGACUCCAAGAGUCUCUUUUUCAAUAUAGAAGAUGAUGAUUCUUUCCCCCUGGAACGGCAUUAUCGGGACUGGUGGGAGUGUUUCUCUUUCUGCGUUUCGGAGAGAACAACACAAUAUUCUGCUUUUUCAUUAAUACCCAGUUAGUCUGCUAGCACCACACUUCCUCCCUCCCUGCGCUGCUUGCUGGUGUUGAUACAGAUGCUGCUGGACAAAAGAAGGCCCUGCUCCAUAUGGCUCUGUAAAAUUGCUUCACUACUGAAGGAUGGGCAUGUGUAAAGGUCCUCAUUACUGCCUGCUGGUCCAUGGACAUUGAUGAUGCUUCUGGUUACUAAAUAGUUGCCUCACUGAGUUGGAGGUCCAUAAACUCCUUCUAGCAACAUCAGAGAUGUCAGAGACAAAGCUGGAGGAACAAAGAUACUGAGACACCAUAGAUGUGUCUCCAGUGAUGCCUUCAAGCCUACAGAAGUCCCUGGCUAAAUUGCUCUUUAUCUUUAUUGCUCUAUAUACUUCUUUAUCUGCUUGUCAAGACAUUGUAUUUUUCCCUGAUAAAGUGAAGAACAACAGGCAUUGAGCAAAAUCAAAGUGGUUGAUGAUAAUCUCAGUUAACUUCCUGGAGACUCCAGUCACUGGUCACAGUCAAGUUGAGCAAUGGUGAGGGAGGUGUGGACACUUUGAACUAAGACAAGGUGACAUUAAAAAGCUGUAAUAAAGUUCUUGUGAAGUUA